rnacentral:rRNA from 1 species
AUUGAACGCUGGCGGCAGGCCUAACACAUGCAAGUCGAACGAGUGGCGGACGGGUGAGUAAUGUCUGGGAAACUGCCCGAUGGAGGGGGAUAACUACUGGAAACGGUAGCUAAUACCGCAUACCAUCGGAUGUGCCCAGAUGGGAUUAGCUAGUAGGUGGGGUAACGGCUCACCUAGGCGACGAUCCCUAGCUGGUCUGAGAGGAUGACGAGCAACACUGGAACUGAGAACCGGCCCAGAGUCCUACGGGAGGAAGCAGUGGGGAAUAUUGCACAAUGGGGGCAAGCCUGACGAAGCCAUGCGGCGUGGAGGAAGAAGGCCUUCGGGUUGUAAAGUACUUUCAGCGAGGAGGCGUUACUCGCAGAAGAAGCACCGGCUAACUCCGUGCCAGCAGCCGCGGUAAUUC